GGCUUAACACAUGCAAGUCGAGGGGCAUCAGGAACAUAGCUUGCUUUCUUUGCUGGCGACCGGCGCACGGGUGAGUAACACGUAUCCAACCUGCCCUUUACUCGGGGAUAGCCUUUCGAAAGAAAGAUUGAUACCCGAUAGCAUAAUGAUUCCGCAUGGUUUCAUUAUUAAAGGAUUCCGGUAAAGGAUGGGGAUGCGUUCCAUUAGGUUGUUGGUGGGGUAACGGCCCACCAAGCCUUCGAUGGAUAGGGGUUCUGAGAGGAAGGUCCCCCACAUUGGAACUGAGACACGGUCCAAACUCCUACGGGAGGCAGCAGUGAGGAAUAUUGGUCAAUGGGCGCUAGCCUGAACCAGCCAAGUAGCGUGAAGGAUGAAGGCUCUAUGGGUCGUAAACUUCUUUUAUAUAAGAAUAAAGUGCAGUAUGUAUACUGUUUUGUAUGUAUUAUAUGAAUAAGGAUCGGCUAACUCCGUGCCAGCAGCCGCGGUAAUACGGAGGAUCCGAGCGUUAUCCGGAUUUAUUGGGUUUAAAGGGAGCGUAGGUGGACUGGUAAGUCAGUUGUGAAAGUUCGCGGCUCAACCGUAAAAUUGCAGUUGAUACUGUCAGUCUUGAGUACAGUAGAGGUGGGCGGAAUUCGUGGUGUAGCGGUGAAAUGCUUAGAUAUCACGAAGAACUCCGAUUGCGAAGGCAGCUCACUGGACUGCAACUGACACUGAUGCUCGAAAGUGUGGGUAUCAAACAGGAUUAGAUACCCUGGUAGUCCACACAGUAAACGAUGAAUACUCGCUGUUUGCGAUAUACAGUAAGCGGCCAAGCGAAAGCAUUAAGUAUUCCACCUGGGGAGUACGCCGGCAACGGUGAAACUCAAAGGAAUUGACGGGGGCCCGCACAAGCGGAGGAACAUGUGGUUUAAUUCGAUGAUACGCGAGGAACCUUACCCGGGCUUAAAUUGCAGUGGAAUGAUGUGGAAACAUGUCAGUGAGCAAUCACCGCUGUGAAGGUGCUGCAUGGUUGUCGUCAGCUCGUGCCGUGAGGUGUCGGCUUAAGUGCCAUAACGAGCGCAACCCUUAUCUUUAGUUACUAACAGGUCAUGCUGAGGACUCUAGAGAGACUGCCGUCGUAAGAUGUGAGGAAGGUGGGGAUGACGUCAAAUCAGCACGGCCCUUACGUCCGGGGCUACACACGUGUUACAAUGGGGGGUACAGAAGGCAGCUAGCGGGUGACCGUAUGCUAAUCCCAAAAGCCUCUCUCAGUUCGGAUCGAAGUCUGCAACCCGACUUCGUGAAGCUGGGUUCGCUAGUAAUCGCGCAUCAGCCACGGCGCGGUGAAUACGUUCCCGGGCCUUGUACACACCGCCCGUCAAGCCAUGGGAGCCGGGGGUACCUGAAGUACGUAACCGCAAGGAUCGUCCUAGGGUAAAACUGGUGACUGGGGCUA
rnacentral:rRNA from 1 species